ACAAAGUGCGUCACGGCUCCCCCUGCGCAAUACUUUUUAUCAUACCGUCCAUAGGGGGACCCGGAGUCCUGGCCAGCUCAUCUGCAGUAGCUGGACCGGUGUAGACAGAAUCCGUAUACCUCAAUAACCUCCGUGGUCGUAGUUUAUGGGUGUCACCGUGGGGAAAGUUCAAGGCAGUGCUGUCUCCGUGUGGCCCGCCGGUCCUAUUCAGGUGCAAGACUCCGCCAUCAUAUUUUCAUAUUCUUUAUAAAGGAUACUUCCUCCUGGUUCUAUCAUAAGAACACUGAUUGGACUGUAGGAGUAAGGGACACAAGAAGGACGUGGGACAUUCCAGUCCACCACCAGAUUAAUGAAGUUCUGAAUAAUGGCAUGAUUGGGAGAGUUAUACCCUGAAUGAAGCAGUCUGGGGCAGUCUCCCUUACAGUAUCCAGGAUUGUACCUAUGUGGAGCAAUGAUCCAGUGAUCCCAUCCAAGCUGAUGAAAGCUAACCCAGAAAGGAUGUAGAGCGCAAUGAUUCUUAGACUGUCCACUCUGGUUGGGAAUCUUUGGAAGCUUAAUGCCAAUAGUCCCUGAUUGACGUGGCUUCCUUACCAGUAUGCCUGACAUACCAGCCUCUGGAACUUCAGUUACCGUCUUCUCUUUGGCACGGUUAUGAAAAGUGUGGUUGAAAUAAAUAAGCAAGAAAGGGAUGUGAGAGGCUGAAACGGCCAAUGGAACUCUGAUUGGUUUCCCAAUAUGCUUACAUAUCAGUUGAAGGUUUAAUGUUAGAUUUGAAUUUUCCACUAGAGGCUUGAUGUGAGGUGUGAUAUCUGUCUCAGCCCACGUCUGAAUUCCUGGGGGUACUCUUGUCUUCAAGUAGGCACCAGCACUUGGCAGAAGUUCCACACUGCAGAAGUAGUAAUUAUUAUCCCCAAAACGCAGUGCCCAGGGAUGCAUCACAGUUGCUCUCAUCAGCUCUUUUACAUUAUGAAGGUUGAACUCAAGGUUUUGCAUCUGUGACUGCUCCUCUGGAAGAAAAGAAAAUAACAAAUUGGUUUCACCUCAGGGAUAGCCCAAAAUACAGUAUAAGUACUUGCAAAUGUCCAGUCUCAACUGUGUUUUUGCCACAUGGACCUUAUAUCUUUAUAUAUACUUGAAGUUCACCUUUAGUAUGGAAACCUCAGGAAAUUUACAUCAACCAUGGGUAUAUCUCUAAUGCGUGCAGAAUGUGUCAUUGGUAUGAAACUCGGAGGCUUAGGGGGCCCACUUCUUGGGCUUGACUCAAGUGUACAAAGGUCAUAAAGUUGUCUAAUAGGUUCCCGGGAUUGCCUGCUAAACACUGUGAGACAUACAGUGAACAGGGGACACUGCGGCGUGUGUACUGUCCUCAGUACAAUGCUGCACAUUGUUAAUUUGGGGAGCUGCAAUGUGGCAUAAUAUGAACUGGGGCUCAACUAUGGGGCAUGUACUACUGAAGGGCACCACUAUGGUUCACAAAAUUAACUAGAGCGCAGGUUCUCAAACUCUGUCUUCAGGACCUCACACGGUUUAUGUUUUGCAGGUCACCUGUACAUUUUUAAAAUGUGACAGUUGGUGAUACACAGUGCAGCUGCUGGUUGACAUGGACAAUGUGAACCGUGUGACAUCCUGCAGACCAAGUUUGAGAACCACCGAACUAGAGAACUACUUUGGGCCAAUAAAUUAACUAGAGCACAGUGAUGAAAGUAUGUCAGUAUGGCGCGGUAUGGUGCACCAUUAAGACAUUAGUAGCAGGUUCCUUCGUACCCCCUACCACCAUUCUACCUAGGGUCACCGUUUGACCCGUUUUCAAGUCUGACACACAGUAGCACUAAGAUUUUCUCUACUUGCUCCACUGCUAGGGCACUACUAUGGUGCAUAAAAUUGACAACUGGGGUGGAGAUGGGUGUCUCUCUAGAAGAGGCCCCUUCAAAAUGUUGCUAUGGGGCCAACAAGGUUCGUCGACCAUCACAUUAACAUUAUACAUUUAUUGUCAUUACAUAUCACAGAGAUAAGCAAUGUCCUUCAGAUAUAUUUAUUAAUUGCAGAGACAGUGGCUUAGAAAAGAGUGAAUUGUAAAGUGAUAGCUUACACUAUUAAUUCACUUGAAAAAGGGGGUAGGCAAAGACCACACUAGCCUCACAUACUUUUAAAUAUAGGACUUCAGUUACCCAGUUACGGAUUGGAUAGUACCUGCCAUCACAGAUUAAUUAUAAAUUCAGGGGAGAAGAAAAAGUAACCAGUUAAUGGUAGUCACAGGUAAGUAUUUCAAACUAAAGAUACAUACACACUGUGAGAUAUUGACUAAGUGCCGAUUUUGACUGCGAGUUCCCUUGAACUCCCCGGAGCCCAAAACCACCAAUUUUGACUAUAUACAAUUUUGACUAUACUAGAAACUAGUAUGUACACAAUAUAUUAAAAAUUGCCUUGCCUUCA